rnacentral:rRNA from 1 species
AGAGUUUGAUCCUGGCUCAGAUUGAACGCUGGCGGCAGGCCUAACACAUGCAAGUCGAGCGGUAGAGAGAAGCUUGCUUCUCUUGAGAGCGGCGGACGGGUGAGUAAUGCCUAGGAAUCUGCCUGGUAGUGGGGGAUAACGUUCGGAAACGGACGCUAAUACCGCAUACGUCCUACGGGAGAAAGCAGGGGACCUUCGGGCCUUGCGCUAUCAGAUGAGCCUAGGUCGGAUUAGCUAGUUGGUGGGGUAAUGGCUCACCAAGGCGACGAUCCGUAACUGGUCUGAGAGGAUGAUCAGUCACACUGGAACUGAGACACGGUCCAGACUCCUACGGGAGGCAGCAGUGGGGAAUAUUGGACAAUGGGCGAAAGCCUGAUCCAGCCAUGCCGCGUGUGUGAAGAAGGUCUUCGGAUUGUAAAGCACUUUAAGUUGGGAGGAAGGGUUGUAGAUUAAUACUCUGCAAUUUUGACGUUACCGACAGAAUAAGCACCGGCUAACUCUGUGCCAGCAGCCGCGGUAAUACAGAGGGUGCAAGCGUUAAUCGGAAUUACUGGGCGUAAAGCGCGCGUAGGUGGUUAGUUAAGUUGGAUGUGAAAUCCCCGGGCUCAACCUGGGAACUGCAUUCAAAACUGACUGACUAGAGUAUGGUAGAGGGUGGUGGAAUUUCCUGUGUAGCGGUGAAAUGCGUAGAUAUAGGAAGGAACACCAGUGGCGAAGGCGACCACCUGGACUGAUACUGACACUGAGGUGCGAAAGCGUG